ACAUAAAAGUCCAGAGUAGCAGGUCAGGCUGUUGUCUUCUAUAGUGGUGAUAUGACAGCUAGAAAAGUACAUGGUUGGACAGGUUCCCACACUUCUCAUUGGAAUGCGACUCCCCAGCUCCUUCGAGAUAAGCACAAUGUCUUCUAUGAGAACAGACAGCAGAACAGAACACAUAAAUAUAUGUCCCAGGUGUACAUUUCAACUACAGGCUCUGCAUUCCAGAGAACUUCUUUGGAAAGAAAAAUCCCAGCUCAUA